GCGUAAAUGGUUUAGUGGUAAAAUCCAUCGUUGCCAAUAGCAAGUUUCGAUGGGCCCCCGGUUCGAUUCCGGGUUUACGCA